CUGGCAGAUGACCCCUAUUGAUUUUCAGGUCACUAGGUCAAAGGUCAAGGUCACAGUGACUCGAAAUAGUAAAACGGUUUCCGGAUGAUAACUCAAGAACGCUUACGCCUAGGAUCAUGAAACUUCAUAGGUACAUUGAUCAUGACUCGCAGAUGACCCCUAUUGAUUUUCAGGUCACUAGGUCAAAGGUCAAGGUCACAGUGACUCGAAACAGAAAAAUGGUUUCCGGAUGAUAACUCAAGAACGCUUACGCCUAGGAUCAUGAAACUUCAUAGGUACAUUGAUCAUGACUCGCAGAUGACCCCUAUUGAUUUUCAGGUCACUAGGUCAAAGGUCAAGGUCACAGUGACUCUACACAAAAAUGGUUUCCGGAUGAUAACUCAAGAACGCUUACGCCUAGGAUCAUGAAACUUCAUAGGUACAUAGAUCAUGACUCGCAGAUGACCCCUAUUGAUUUUUAGGUCACUAGGUCAAAGGUCAAGGUCACGGUGACUCGACACAGUAAAAUGGUUUCCAGAUGAUAACUCAAGAACGCUUACGCCUAGGAUCAUCAAACUUCAUAGGUACAUUGAUCAUGACUGGCAGGUGACCCCUAUAAAUUCUCAGGUCACUAGGUCAAGGUCACAGUGACUCGAAACAGUAAAAUGAUUUCCUGAUAAUAACUCAAGAAUACUUAGGCCUAUGAUCAUGAAACUUCAUAGGUACAUUGAUCAUGACUGGCCGAUGACACCUAUUGAUUUUCAAGUCACUAGGUCAAAGGUCAAGUUCACAGUGACAAAAAACAUAUUCACACAAUGGCUGCCACUACAACUGACAGCCCAUAUGGGGGGCAUACAUGUUUUACAAACAGCCCUUGUUGUAUAAUAAUAUGAGCCAUUUUUAACUUAGACAUGUUCAUAUACAUUUCAUAGGCAGGUUUAUAUUAAAAUCAAAUUGCACAUGAAUAUACCUUGUUCAAAGAAUCCCACCCCUCCCCAAUUGUGAUUGUGUACAGGAUGGGUGGGGUAAAGGUCACUGUUGCUUAAAAUAGCAAAAUGGAUUCCACUUAAUUCUUCCUUCAUUUUUAUUUAAUAUACAAUGAAAAAAUCUGCUCUAUUUAUGAAUAUUGAAUGUAGCUAUUUUAAUUAAACUAAAUUUAUAAAUACCUAAUAUUCAUUUAUCGUUAGAGUUACAUGUCAUUCCUGAGGUCAACAUAAAAUAGAAAAAUUGGAUUCCGUUUAGUAAUUAAACAACUAAUUGAGCUUUUGGCAUGCUACAACAUACACAGAUGGCUCCAAUCUUUAUUUAAGAUUGCAGAUGGGUGUAAGGUCUAUGUUCAUAAAUAUUGAUAAACAGUUUCUGCUCAAUUACUCACUAAAAAUUUAGCUUUUGUAUUGAUACUACCUUUGUUGUACUCGGAAACUUGAAAACAAAUUGAGGAGGUGUAAUUAAACUAACGAUAGUUGCGCAUAGGAUGGGAUCAAGGUCACUGUUACUAAAUUUGGGAAUAUUUGGUUUUCCAAUGAGGCACAUUGGGUCAAAGUCAAGUGUCAAGGUCACUGUAAGUAAAUUAACCAAAAUAGUGUUUACUCAGAAUCAAAAUGCAUGUGCCUCUGAGGAUAUUUUGCAAAUUUGACUAGUUCUAAAUUACUUGGUAGCUAUAUAUAUAUAUAUACAGUUUGGUUUAGAAAAAAAGCUGCAGAAGCUGUGACAAGCACAAGAAAAGACGACCAUGCAAUCCUUUGACAGCUCUUUUGUGUUUUUAAGUUAAUUACAUCUUAAUAUUGGCAAGAAGCAUUUAAUAAAAUAUUGAUAUAACACUGAUAUAUUUGUAUUUUUUUUUUUUAAAUGGUUUUGUUUUUGUUAUUUUUUUUCACUUGUUUGUUUGUUUUUUGUCUAGUUUCUUAUUUAAAUUGCACAAGGUCCCAUUUUUAUUCACUUUGGUUAUUUGUAUGUACAUGUAUGGCAUAAUUAUCGCAAAUAUUCAUUUACACACAUUUGCAGUACACAACAUAUUUUUAUUUUUAGUACUGUACUCCAUAUCAGCGUCAAUAUGAUAUUUUUAUGCCCCCGGAUCGAUAGAUCGGGGGUAUAUUGUUUUUGGCCUGUCUGUCUGUCUUUCUGUCUUUCUUUCUGUCUGUCAUUCUGUCCCAAAACUUUAACCUUACAGUCAAGUUUUGCAAUAACUUUUGAAAUAUUGAACAUAGCAACUUGAUAUUUGGCAUGCAUGUGUAUCUCAUGGAGCUGCACAUUUUGAGUGGUGAAAGGUCAAGGUCAUCCUUCAAGGUAAAAGGUAAAAAAAGCAGCGCAUUAGUGGGCAUUGUGUUUCUGACAAACACAUCUCUUGUUUGUAAUUUAAUGUUAACCUAAUAGUUUUCCUGUUUAAAAAUGGAAAUUAAAUCAUUAAACUUCACUAUGCAGCAAACAGAUAGUUGAAAAUAGGGCAAUACAUUUAAGUCACUAAACACUUAUGACAGAUUUUGAAAUUUAAGGGUUUUAAUAUCAACAUUAAGUUAUCGCAUUUUUUAAUGAUAACUAAUUUGCAUUGUGUUGUAUUUAGUGAGAAGUUUCGUCCAUGUGUGUAUACAUUUUCAUAAUACUGAGUUAAUUAUUUUGUGUCAGAGAUAACUCCAGUUGAUUAUUCACUAGUGACAGAGUUUAUAUCCUUAAGACAGGAGUUUGUGAUUUAGUUAAGUCACGUGUGACAUUAUGAAUAUCCUUGUGGCAGAGUAAGGUCAUUUUCUUGCUUCUUACUGGCAUAGUUUUGUCCAUGACAAAUCUUAACAAGUUUUAAUUGCAUCUUAAUGGAUAUAACAGUCUUUUAAACAUUUGAUCUUUAGUUGCACUGGUUGAGAAAGUGCAAUUUAUUGUGUUAAACUGUCCCGUCACAUGUAUUUAGUAAUAUAUAUUUUAGUUAUGUGUUUUAGUUAGAUCAGGUUACCGGUAGCGCCGUAUGGAAUCCAAUCUAGUUACACCCCUAUGAUAUUGUGCCAUAAUCAAACUUGAUAUCACAAACAAGUAUGCAUUUAAAUAGGAACCUGACGUGUAAAGUACCUGCAUACUGCAUAUAUUAUAUAGUUGAAUAUGUAUUGUGCCAAAUAAAAGAUGCAUCUGCUUUUUGGAAGCAACAUCAAAUUAUAAAAA